CUUCUUCAAAAAUAUAGCUCACAGUCAUUUAUUCUAUUUGUUUUCCUUUGUAUAUAAUGCUUGCUCCUGUAACAGACGGUUUUCUUCCAGCAGCACAUUAAGAAACAAAAUUAACACAUCGUGGUAACUACCUGGUUUGUUCCAGGUGAUUCAAUGCUUUGUACCUCAGGCAUUUGCAUUACAGCUUAAUCCAUUACAGACUCUGAAACAGCAACCUGUCAGUGUGCGACAGCAGCACCCUCAGCACAACAUACCAUGUCUGGCUGCAUCGAGAAUGGGACUGACCACGCUGUCAGAGCCAUUGCUUCCAACCCUCAUUUGGAUCUGAGUAGCGAUGAGAAAGAAGCCUCUUCCCCCCCCCCAGUUGUGCAAUCUUCACUUGAGAAUUCCUCAACUCCACUUUGCUUCUUUGGGGACACAAUCAGAACAAAAUAAUUGCAAUCCUCUUCCCAGAGAAAGCAUUCUUCCAAGCCACUCCUCACCAACAACUGCAACACUCCAACUCAAGGCAGCAUAACCCUUUACACUUUCUGGACCAAAAACUCCCAGGAGCAAACCCACAGCCGCUGUCAGUGAGAGCUGCAAGUUCAUGGUUUCUGUCCUCCGUCUGUUACUAACAUAAUCCCUACAAUACACAGCAGAAACAUGAUCUGGGCUCUCUGCGACAUUCCGUAACGUUCUGCACAAGCAUAACAAGGUCAUCGAUACUGCAGUCAGGGCUGCCUGGAGCAAAGGGCUAGAUUCGUAUCAACAGAAUGAAAAACCUUAAUAUUAAAUGAAAAAAAAAUAAAUCUUGUUUUGGCUUUUAAACUAAACCA
rnacentral:lncRNA from 1 species